GCAAUCUGGACACUAAAGACAGCGCUAUGACCGUCAUUGCUGACUCCUGUUUGUUUGUCCUCCAGUCUGAGAAGCUCGAUCAAGUGCGAAUGACGCAGGUGUCACUUUCUCCUAGGAACUUUUCAAGAUGGGAAAUGCAAGAAAACGUGAUUCAAGAAAAAACCCUCCCUCCAUCCUGCCUUUCAUAUCAAAUUUAAUUACAGCAGCCAGAUUCCCAGAUGGCCCCGGUGAGCCAAGGCUUUGCUGCUGCAAACACAUCCUUCCUGGACAGAUAGAUGUACAUGCUCUGCAAGAUGUUCAGUAUUGUGCCAUCGAGGUAGUGGGUCUAGGACUGAGACUAGCAUCCCAGUCUUUUGGAACGGGCGUGACACCCUGGAAAGAACAGUCCUCUUGCAGUCGGAGUAUUCUGUAGUGGCAAGCAGGAGAAACCGGAAAUAAAAAGAGCAGGUAGACAUGCCAACAGGAGUGAGCAGCACGGCUGAUAGACACAGACCAAAAGAGGCAGCUGGCCAGUUCCAGUGUUCAGAGCAGAAGGAGGGCAGCAGGGGCUGGAAGGGCUACAGGCCGGUUCCAGCAGCUGGAACCAGAAGCCGGGGCCAUCAGACGGGAAAAAACCGGCAAGCCCAGCAGCCGAGGACAAGCUGGUCGGCAGACUGAGACAAACCGCAGGAACGAGAAAGGUACAGCAAUUAUUAGUAGCAGAGAGCGGCCGAGGAACUAGCAUUUCGGAGAUGAGGAAGAGGUGACCCCGGGAAGACUGCAAAUAGCGAGGCCUGUUGCGUAGCCACAGAAAUACUCCCACAAGUUGAAGCACAGUACUCUACAGGUGCUAUCCACGUAUGCUGGACGUUGUGGAUUCGUCCAGGCUGGCGACAAAGACAGGAUGGAGAGAGGCUUAGGAGAAAUGCCAGAGGCAGACUGAACUGAACUGAGCUGAGCUGGAUUGAUGGUUGAUAGGUCUAGACUGCUGAUGAACACCCACAGGAGGACGGCAGAAUCACACUCCUAAUGUUAGACUUUAUAUUUAAGAGACUUUUAUUCUCUUGAUGCCCUUUUGGACUUUUUAUCUUCUUAUUCUGUGUGGCUGGUGGUUCUUAAAGUAUUAGACACUAUGACAGUUUUAUUUUUCCUAUGCCAUUCAAAUAAUAGCGCAACAUGGUUCUCAAGGUCCACUGUCC